CCUCCUUAUACGAUUUAGAACUUAUUUGUUCGUAGUGUCCACACAGAUGAUUGUUAAUUGUAAAGAGAACAACACUUAUUGUUUGGGUCUGUAGCUCAGCUGGUUAGAGCGCACCCCUGAUAAGGGUGAGGUCGGUAGUUCAAAUCUACUCAGACCCACCACUUCUUCUUAAUACUUCGUUGUAAGCUUCGUUGUUUAGUGAACUAAACGACCUCAACUUACGCCUUGUCUUAAAAAGAAGUCGGUAUACAAACAGUAAGACCAGCAUAUGUGGGGCUAUAGCUCAGCUGGGAGAGCGCCUGCCUUGCACGCAGGAGGUCAGCAGUUCGAUCCUGCUUAGCUCCACCACUUUACUUCUUAAAAAUAAAUAUUCUUUUAUCGGGUAGCACAAUCACCUGAGAAUAGAGUGUGUUUAAUUUUUGAGAAGUUUUUGAUUCUCUGCUCUUUAAAAAUUUGGAAAAGCUGAUAAUAAAAUUCGUAUGAAUAACACA
rnacentral:tRNA from 1 species